GCAUGUGAGGGCGAUCUGGCUGUGACAUCUGUCACCCCACUGAUGGCCAUGGUGGAUUCGGCUGAUCUGGCUGGCUAGGCUGGUGUCCCCUUCCUCCCUCACCAUUCCAUGUGUGUCCCUCCUGAAGCUGCACACUCAAUCGAAGAGGAUGACCAUCCCCAAUAUGGAGGACCGUUCUUUGGUCAAAGUGUAAGAGUAACCGCUCGCCUGCCAGAACCUCCAAACAGGCACUCAAAAGACUUUGCAAGAACCUUACCCAAAGGUCACUGCGACCCUACACAGAAAAUCCUGGUGCAAGCAACUACCUUAUGCUAGCCUUGUUAUU
rnacentral:snRNA from 1 species